GACGAACGCUGGCGGCGUGCUUAACACAUGCAAGUCGAACGGAAAGGCCUGCUUUCCCUUGUGGAUUGCGGGUACUCGAGUGGCGAACGGGUGAGUAACACGUGAGUGAUCUGCCCCCAACUUGGGUAUAAGCCUGGGAAACUGGGUCUAAUUCCCGAUAGGACUGCAGGGUGGUGCCUGUGGUGGAAAACGAUUUUCUAGUGGUUGGGGAUGAGCUCGCGGCCUAUCAGCUUGUUGGUGGGGUAAUGGCCUACCAAGGCGGCGACGGGUAGCCGGCCUGAGAGGGUGGACGGACACAUUGGGACUGAGAUACGGCCCAGACUCCUACGGGGGGCAGCAGUGGGGAAUAUUGCACAAUGGGCGGAAGCCUGAUGCAGCGACGCCGCGUGGGGGAUGACGGCCUUCGGGUUGUAAACUCCUUUCGACCGCGAGGAAGCCACCUGGUUGGAAGGGUGGUGACGGUAGUGGUAGAAGAAGCACCGGCUAACUACGUG
rnacentral:rRNA from 1 species